GACGAAGGGGGCUAGCGUUGUUCGGAAUUACUGGGCGUAAAGGGCGCGUAGGCUGUGCUGUAAGUCAGGCGCGAAAGCCCCGGGCUCAACCUGGGAAUUGCGCUUGAUACUGCGGCGCUGGAAGGUGGGAGAGGAUGGCGGAAUUCCCAGUGUAGAGGUGAAAUUCGUAGAUAUUGGGAAGAACACCGGUGGCGAAGGCGGCCAUCUGGCCCAUUUUUGACGCUGAGGCGCGAAAGCGUGGGGAGCAAACAGG
rnacentral:rRNA from 1 species